CCUUACGAGUAGGGCUACACACGUGCUACAAUGGCGUAUACAGAGGGCUGCCAACUAGCGAUAGUGAGCGAAUCCCAGAAAGUACGUCGUAGUCCGGAUUGGAGUCUGCAACUCGACUCCAUGAAGUCGGAAUCGCUAGUAAUCGUGAAUCAGAAUGUCACGGUGAAUACGUUCCCGGGCCUUGUACACACCGCCCGUCACACCAUGGGAGUGGGCUGCACCAGAAGUAGAUAGCUUAACCUUCGGGAGGGCGUUUACCACGGUGUGGUUCAUGACUGGGGUGAAGUCGUAACAAGGUAGCCCUAGGGGAACCUGGGGCUGGAUCACCUCCUUACCUAAAGA
rnacentral:rRNA from 1 species